rnacentral:rRNA from 1 species
UAGGGAAUCUUCCGCAAUGGGCGAAAGCCUGACGGAGCAACGCCGCGUGAGUGAUGAAGGUCUUCGGAUCGUAAAACUCUGUUAUUAGGGAAGAACAAAUGUGUAAGUAACUAUGCACGUCUUGACGGUACCUAAUCAGAAAGCCACGGCUAACUACGUGCCAGCAGCCGCGGUAAUACGUAGGUGGAAGCGUUAUCCGGAAUUAUUGGGCGUAAAGCGCGCGUAGGCGGUUUUUUAAGUCUGAUGUGAAAGCCCACGGCUCAACCGUGGAGGGUCAUUGGAAACUGGAAAACUUGAGUGCAGAAGAGGAAAGUGGAAUUCCAUGUGUAGCGGUGAAAUGCGCAGAGAUAUGGAGGAACACCAGUGGCGAAGGCGACUUUCUGGUCUGUAACUGACGCUGAUGUGCGAAAGCGUGGGGAUCAAACAGG